AAAUAAUGCAGCCAUGAGUUUCUGUACCUAACUUGAUCAUCCGUCUUAUUUAAAAAAUUUUAUAACUAGAUUUUUGUUGUUAUGAGAUGAUGAAAUAUGAAUAAUACUUUACUCGUGACUUAAGUUUUUAAAUUUUGUUCAAAUAAGACGAACGGUUAAAGUUGACCACGGAAAACCAUAGCUGCACUUAUU
rfam:Oryza barthii chromosome 1, whole genome shotgun sequence.